GUUUUUGAUCAAUAAACUGAACAAUUCACAUUUACCAGCUCUUUCCAACAUUGAGAAUGAUUUCAUCAUUAAGAGAGAAAAAGAUAAAACCAAACAAUCCAUAAUCAUUUGGCCAAUAAUAAUUUAAGUUCAAUAAGCAGCUACUAGACUCCUUAAUCUCCUUAAUUCCCAAGAUUAUAUAAUUGAUUUUCAAGUCUCAAG
rnacentral:misc_RNA from 1 species